UGGGGAAUUUUGGACAAUGGGCGAAAGCCUGAUCCAGCAAUGCCGCGUGUGUGAAGAAGGCCUUCGGGUUGUAAAGCACUUUUGUCCGGAAAGAAAUCCUUGGCUCUAAUACAGUCGGGGGAUGACGGUACCGGAAGAAUAAGCACCGGCUAACUACGUGCCAGCAGCCGCGGUAAUACGUAGGGUGCAAGCGUUAAUCGGAAUUACUGGGCGUAAAGCGUGCGCAGGCGGUUUGCUAAGACCGAUGUGAAAUCCCCGGGCUCAACCUGGGGAACUGCAUUGGUGACUGGCAGGCUAGAGUAUGGCAGAGGGGGGUAGAACUCCACGUGUAGCAGUGAAAUGCGUAGGAGAUGUGGAGGAAUACCGAUGGCGAAGGCAGCCCCCUGGGCCAAAUACUGACGCUCAUGCACGAAAAGCGUGGGGGAGCAAAACAGGAUUAGAUACCCUGGUAGUCCACGCCCUAAACGAUGUCAACUAGUUGUGGGGAUUCAUUCCUUAGUAACGUAGCUAACGCGUGAAGUUGACCGCCUGGGGAGUACGGUCGCAAGAUUAAAACUCAAAUGAAUUGACGGGGUCAUAGCUGUUUCC
rnacentral:rRNA from 1 species